rnacentral:rRNA from 1 species
CCCCAGUAGUGGCGAGCGAACGGGGAAGAGCCCAAACCGUUGCCGUUUCGGCGACAGCGGGGUCAUGGGACCGCGAUACUCGACGAUGGACGAAGUGCAAUUACCUGGAAAGGUAAGCCGUGGAGGGUGACAGCCCCGUGCACGACACCUCUUUCGAAGAUAGCGGGAUCCCGAGUAGGGCGGGACACGAGAAAUCCUGCCAGAAUUCGCCAGGACCUCCUGGCAAGGCUAAAUACUCCCGAGAGACCGAUAGUGAACCAGUACCGCGAGGGAAAGGUGAAAAGUACCCCGAGCAGGGGGGUGAAAUAGACCCUGAACCCGCGCGCCUACAAGCGGUCGGAGCCAUGAAAUAUGGUGACGGCGUGCCUUUUGCAUAAUGAGCCUACGAGUUAGUCGUCACCAGCGAGGUUAAGGGCUUCAGGCCCGUUAGCCGAAGUGAAAGCGAGCCUUAACAGGGCGUCGAGUUGGUGGCGCUAGACGCGAAACCUUGUGAUCUACCCACGAGCAGGUUGAAGUCGCGGUAACACGUGAUGGAGGACCGAACCGGUAAACGUUGAAAAGUUUUCGGAUGACUCGCGGGUAGGGGUGAAAGGCCAAUCAAACUGGGAAAUAGCUCGUACUCUCCGAAAUGCAUUUCGGUGCAGCCUGUGAUGUUCUGUUCCAGAGGUAGAGCUACUGGUUGGACGCGAGGGCUUCACCGCCUAUCAAAUCCGGAUAAACUCCGAAUGCUGGAACACGAAAUCAUGGAGUGAGCCCGCGGGUGCUAAGGUCCGCGGACGAGAGGGAAAGAACCCGGACCACCGGCUAAGGUCCCGGAUGGACAGUUAAGUUGAUCAAACGAGGUGGGAUCGCGGAGACAGCUAGGAUGUUGGCUUGGAAGCAGCCAUUCAUUUAAAGAGUGCGUAACAGCUCACUAGUCGAGCGAUCCCGCGUGGAUAAUACACGGGCAUUAAACUGUCAACCGAAGCCGUGGGGUCAGUGAAGAACUGACCGGUAGGAGAGCAUUCCUGCCAGCUUUGAAGGUCACCCGCGAGAGUGACUGGAGCGGCAUGAAAAGCAAAUGUAGGCAUAAGUAACGAUAAUGGGGGCGAGAACCCCCCACGCCGCAAGACCAAGGAUUCCCCGGCAAUGUCAAUCAGCCGGGGGUCAGCCGGCCUCUAAGGCUCACCCGAAAGGGGAUGCCGACGAGAAACGGGUUAACAUUCCCGUGCUUCUCGUCACCGUGACGCGGUGACGGGGUGAUGAAUGGACCGCGCGCUGACGGAAUAGCGCGUUGAAGGCCGUACCCUAUGACGGUGGUAGUCAAGCACGCCACCCGAGGCGAAAGUCGAUAGUACCUCGAGGCCUCGGCCGAGGGGAUAGCGUCCAGGCAAUUUACCCCCUAGAAAACCCGCUAAACUUCAAGUGACGAGGAACCGUACUGUAAACGGACACACGUGGUCGGGUAGAACAUACCAAGGCGCUCGAGUGAUUCAUGGUCAAGGAACUAGGCAAAAUAGUCCUGUAACUUCGGGAAAAAGGACGCUCUAGUGAUAGAGCCGCAGAGUAAUGGCCCAGGCGACUGUUUACCAAAAACACAUGGCUAUGCCAAAUCGAAAGAUGACGUAUAUGGCCUGACACCUGCCCGGUGCCGGAAGGUUAAGAGGAGAGCUCAUCGGAAACGAGAAGGUUUGAAUUGAAGCCCCGGUAAACGGCGGCCGUAACUAUAACGGUCCUAAGGUAGCGAAAUUCCUUGUCGGGUAAGUUCCGACCUGCACGAAUGGUGUAACGAUCUGGGCACUGUCUCGACCAUGAGCUCGGUGAAAUUGUAGUUCCGGUGAAGAUGCCGGGUACCCGCGAUGGGACGAAAAGACCCCGUGAACCUUUACUGCAGCUUCGCGUUGUUCCCGGGCACGGGACGUGUAGGAUAGGUCGGAGGCUAGGAGUCGGUUUCGCCAGGAAUCGAGGAGCCAUCGUUGAAAUACGACCCUUCUCUUGUCUGGGAUCUAACCCGUGGUAAUGGGGACACUGCUUGGUGGGUAGUUUGACUGGGGUGGUCGCCUCCAAAAGCGUAACGGAGGCUUCUAAAGGUACCCUCGGGUUGGUUGGUAAUCAACCUUAGAGUGCAAUGGCACAAGGGUGCUUGACCGGGAGACCAACGAGUCGAUCGGGUGCGAAAGCAGGGCAUAGUGAUCCGGUGAUCCCGCGUGGAAGGGACAUCGCUCAAAGGAUAAAAGGUACUCCGGGGAUAACAGGCU